GACGUAGGGUGCGAGCGUUGUCCGGAAUUAUUGGGCGUAAAGAGCUCGUAGGCGGCUUGUUGCGUCGGCUGUGAAAACCCGCGGCUCAACCGUGGGCUUGCAGCCGAUACGGGCAGGCUAGAGUUCGGUAGGGGAGACUGGAAUUCCUGGUGUAGCGGUGAAAUGCGCAGAUAUCGGGAGGAACACCGGUGGCGAAGGCGGCAUCCUGGACCGGCAUUGACGCUGAGGAGCGAAAGCCAGGGGAGCAAACGGG
rnacentral:rRNA from 1 species